rnacentral:rRNA from 1 species
GACGAACGCUGGCGGCGUGCUUAACACAUGCAAGUCGAACGGAAAGGCCCUGCUUUUGUGGGGUGCUCGAGUGGCGAACGGGUGAGUAACACGUGAGUAACCUGCCCUUGACUUUGGGAUAACUUCAGGAAACUGGGGCUAAUACCGGAUAGGAGCUCCUGCUGCAUGGUGGGGGUUGGAAAGUUUCGGCGGUUGGGGAUGGACUCGCGGCUUAUCAGCUUGUUGGUGGGGUAGUGGCUUACCAAGGCUUUGACGGGUAGCCGGCCUGGGAGGGUUACCGGCCACAUUGGGACUGAGAUACGGCCCAGACUCCUACGGGAGGCAGCAGUGGGGAAUAUUGCACAAUGGGCGGAAGCCUGAUGCAGCAACGCCGCGUGCGGGAUGACGGCCUUCGGGUUGUAAACCGCUUUCGCCUGUGACGAAGCGUGAGUGACGGUAAUGGGUAAAGAAGCACCGGCUAACUACGUG